CGUAAAGAAGUCGGGGAGGAGGCGUUGGCGGCGUGGUGCGCAUGCGCACGCGGAGGCCGGGCCGAGGUUCCGCCGGUGUCCGGCCGCCCGUGGUGCCGCGGUGCGGCCAUGAACUGGCUGUUUCCUCUCGGUAAGGGCGGCGCCGCCUCCUCGUCCGCCGCGCCGCUGCCCGCCCUCACCAGUCUCCAGCAGCAGAAGCAGCGACAGAUCGAGUCCCUGCGCGGUGCGCACGCCUCCAUUGCAGAAAUUCAGAAAGAUGUGGAAUAUCGACUACCAUUCACUGUAAACAACUUGACAAUUAAUAUUAACAUCUUGCUUCCACCUCAGUUUCCUCAGGAAAAGCCAGUCAUCAGUGUUUUCCCACCCGUGAGACAUCAUCUAAUGGACAAGCAGGGAGUGUAUGUGACUGGUCCAUUAAUAAACAAUUUUACAAUGCACUCGGAUCUUGGAAAAAUUGUUCAAAGCUUACUGGAUGAGUUUUGGAAAAAUCCACCAGUCCUGGCUCCUAGUUCAACAUCGUUUCCAUACCUCUACAGCAAACCAGCUGGAAUGCCUCCAUAUGCUCCUCAGGGGUUUCCAUUUCUUCCUCCAUACCCACCUCAAGAAACAAAUAGAACAAUGGCACCUGUGCCUGCUUCUGAAUCAGUUUCUUCAAGCUACACUACAGACAAGCCUGCUGCUCCCUCUUAUGGUUUGAUUGCUGAUCUGCCACUACCUGUUCCAACAGCAGAAAUAGUGCUUCAGGUUGGUCAGAACGGAUUUACUUACAAGAUGCCUGAUAUUCCUGAUACCUUUCCAGAACUUUUGGAACUGAGUAUAACAGAGCUGACCAAUAUGAAUGAGAAAGAGGAGGUGUUACUGGAACAGUUUAUGAAUCUACCACAGCUGAAGCAAGUCAUUGCUGAUAGAGAUGAGUUAGUGAAAAGCAUUGAAGAGCUGGCAAAAAAAAAUUUGUUGCUGGAGCCCAGCCUAGAGGCAAAAAGACAGACAGUGUUGGAUAAAUAUGAGCAACUGACACAGAUGAAAGCAGCCUUUGAAAAAAAGAUGCAAAGACAGCAUGAACUUAGUGAGAGUUGCAGUCCAAGCGCUCUGCAAGCCAGACUUAAAGUAGCUGCUCAUGAAGCUGAAGAGGAAUCUGACACUAUUGCAGAAGACUUCUUGGAAGGCAAAACAGAAAUAGAUGACUUUCUUAGUAGCUUCAUGGAAAAGAGAACGGUAUAUAAAAUACAAGUCAUUCUAAUCUGAGAGAUAUACGGAAUAUAGCUCUGCCACUGUAGACGAGCCAAAGAAGAAAAACUUCAACAGGCAAUAGCAAUGCACAGCCAAUUUCAUGCUCCGCUAUAGGUUUCCUGCAAACUACAUCUGCCAACAGAAGAGUGAAAAACCCAGUAAAGCACACUUUUUAAUAACUAUUAUUUGCAAAUAGGCAUUUCAUCUUAUGUGGUUGUAUUUAUAGAAGAGAUUGUAUACAGAGCUGGGACUGUUUUUGUACAAAUUAGAAUGUCUCUUUAUAUUCUCAUUGUACUCAAGAAUCCUUCUAUUGCAAACUUUGCACUAAUUUCUUGUAUUUAUUGUUGAUAGUUCUUAUUAUAUUUAAGUUCCUGCUGCUAUACCCCAUUCUUCAAAGAUUAAAUAUCUAAAUAUGUAAUUUUGACUAGCUUUUUACAUUUUUAUAAAAGCAUAAUUCAUAUCUUUUGUACUUUGAAAUUUAAAUGGAUUUGGCUUGAUCUGUGGAAGAGUUUGAGAUAAAUGGUGAUAGAGCUUUGGAAACUGAAGAAGUUCAUAAUUGGAGGUAGUAAAUUCACAAGCUGUCUUUUUCUUGAAGCCAAAAUGUUUAAGAACAAUUUUUGUUACUUUUAAGUGAUAACACAAAACUGAUCAUAGUCUGUACUCUGUUUUGGACAAGCAGAUCUGGAUUAAGCAUAGGGUGUGUUGGAACAAACUGUAUUGGAAACAAAAUUGAAUGAAUGAUCUCUGUGUAGAUUUGAUAUGUUGCUCAGUAGCACCAAUGCACUUGAUUUCAGGUGUGGCCUGGUACCUAGCACUGUAAUUAAACACAAUUUCAUCUAACAAUUUCACUUUCAUGUUUGUUUUUACUUAUUGAGAAACAAGUCUGAUUACCUUAUAGUUUGUGUUUUAUGCAAUGUGACUACAUGUCUAGAACUCAAAGACACUACAAAAUCUAAUUCUGAAUUUCUUUGUGAUGUAGCAGUUACCCUCCUAUUUUUAAGCAACAAAGCAACUGAUGUGGCUACAAGUUAGGUUGUGUGCUGUGUUGAGGCCAAUGAUAAAAAUUGGAAUUGAGCCUUAAGUCUGCCCUUUAAUCACUGAACCUUGUCUCAGGUUAGAAAACUUGUUUGUUUUCUUAGUGUAAGAUGUAUUAGAUGAGAAUGGCUAGGACCUAACGCAGUAUUCUGUAGAAGAAAAAUACAAUCCCUAAGCACAUGCAUGUAUAUUCUCUCUUGC